GGGUCAGUAGGUUGGUCGUGCCACCGGUACGUACUGGUCUCACUGAUUCCUCCUUCCUGAAGAACCGUAAUGCCAUUAAUUUGGUGUUGCGGGGAAACAGGACUGUUGCUUUGAAAAAAUUAGAGCGUUUAAAGCAAGCUAACGCUUGAAUACAUUAGCAUGGAAUAAUGAAAUAGGACGAUCGAUCCUAUUUUGUUGGUUUCUAGGAUUGACGUA
rnacentral:rRNA from 1 species